UCUUGAUUCGGUCCAUGACAA
rnacentral:piRNA from 1 species